AGCAGCAUGGCGCAGUGGAAGCGCGCGGGGCUCAUAACCCCGAGGUUAUUCGAUCGAAGCGAGUUGCUGCUA
rnacentral:tRNA from 1 species